rnacentral:rRNA from 1 species
GACGGAAGGUGCAAGCGUUGCUCGGAAUCACUGGGCGUAAAGGGUGCGUAGGCGGCCGUGCAAGUCUGGCGUGAAAGCCCCGGGCUCAGCCCGGGAAGUGCGCUCGAAACUGCGCGGCUCGAGUGCCGGAGGGGAGAGUGGAAUUCCUGGUGUAGCGGUGAAAUGCGUAGAUAUCGGAAGGAACACCGGUGGCGAAGGCGGCACGCUGGGCCCGCCCUGACGCUGAGGCGCGAAAGCCAGGGGAGCGAACGGG